rnacentral:rRNA from 1 species
ACGAAAGUCUGAUCCAGCGACGCCGCGUGGAGGAAGAAGUCCUUCGGGAUGUAAACUCAUGAAGCUAACGAAUAAGACGGAAGGGGAACCUUCCGGGAGAAGGUAAUUAGUGAAAAGCCCCGGCUAACUACGUGCCAGCAGCCGCGGUAAUACGUAGGGGGCGAGCGUUGCCCGGAAUUACUGGGCGUAAAGGGAACGUAGGUGGCUCUUAAAGUCAGGUGUGAAAAUAACGAAGCUUAACAGGUUAAUGCGCUUGAAACUGCGGGGCUUGAGUGGAGCAGAGGCAGGCGGAAUUCCCGGUGUAGCGGUGAAAUGCGUAGAGAUCGGGAGGAACACCAGUGGCGAAGGCGGCCUGCUGGGCUUUAACUGACGCUGAAGCACGAAAGCAUGGGUAGCAAACA